rnacentral:rRNA from 1 species
UACGUAGGGGGCAAGCGUUGUCCGGAUUUAUUGGGCGUAAAGAGCGUGUAGGCGGCCAGACAGGUCCGUUGUGAAAACUCGAGGCUCAACCUCGAGACGCCGAUGGAAACCGUCUGGCUAGAGUCCGGAAGAGGAGAGUGGAAUUCCUGGUGUAGCGGUGAAAUGCGCAGAUAUCAGGAAGAACACCCGUGGCUAAGGCGGCUCUCUAGUACGGUACUGACGCUGAGACGCGAAGCGUGGGAGC